rnacentral:rRNA from 1 species
AAUGAACGCUGGCGGCAUGCCUAACACAUGCAAGUCGAACGAGACCUUCGGGUCUAGCGGCGCUCGGGUGCGUACCGCGGGGGAACCUGCCCUUAGGUUCGGUAUACCUUCCCGAAAGGGGUGCUAAUGCCGGAUAAUGUCUUCCGACCAAAGAGUUUGCGCCUUUGGAUGGGCCGGCGUUGGCUUAGCUAGUUGGUAGGGUAAACGGCUACCCAGGUGACGAUCCAUAGCUGGGCGGAGAGGGAGAUCAGCCACACUGGGAAUGAGACACGGCCACGACGCCUACAGGAGGGAGCAGUGGGGAAUAAUGGACAAUAGGCGAAAGCAUCAUCCAGCAAUGCGGCGUGAGGGAUUAAGGGCUUAGGGUUGUAAAGCCCUUUUACCCAGGAUGAUAGUGACAGUAGCGGGAGAAGAAGCUCCGGCUAACUCCGUG